GCGCGAAAACUUUACAAUGCUGGCAACAGCGAUAAGGGAACCUCGAGUGCCAGGUUACAAAUCUGGCUGUCGAGAUGCCUAAAAAGCAUUUCAUAGCAAGGGCCGGGCAAGACCGGUGCCAGCCGCCGCGGUAACACCGGCGGCUCGAGUGGUAACCGUUAUUAUUGGGUCUAAAGGGUCUGUAGCCGGCCGGAUAAGUCUCUUGAGAAAUCUGGCAGCUUAACUGUCAGGCUUUCAGGAGAUACUGUCUGGCUCGAGGCCGAGAGGUGAGAGGUACUUCGAGGGGUAGGGUGAAAUCUUGUAAUCCUUGAAGGACCACCAGUGGCGAAGCGUCUCACCAGAACGGACCUGACGGCAAGGACGAAAGCAGGGCGACGAACCGGAUUAGAAACCUAGUAG
rnacentral:rRNA from 1 species